UACGUAGGGUGCAAGCGUUACUCGGAAUUACUGGGCGUAAAGCGCGCGCAGGCGGCUAUCCAAGUCAGUGGUGAAAGCCCGGAGCUCAACUCCGGAACUGCCAUUGAAACUGUUUAGCUUGAGGAUGAGAGAGGUGAGUGGAAUUCCCAGUGUAGAGGUGAAAUUCGUAGAUAUUGGGAAGAACACCGGUGGCGAAGGCGGCUCACUGGCUCAUUACUGACGCUCAGGCGCGAUAGCGUGGGGAUCAAACAGG
rnacentral:rRNA from 1 species